rnacentral:ncRNA from 1 species
AUCUUAUCCAGAGAAGCCGAGGGACUGGCCCGAUGACGCUUCAGCAACCCCUGAUUUAAUCAGGAAGGUGCUACUUCCAGCAAGGAGAGAUUCCUUGGGAGAUAAGAG